CCUGGCUCAGGAUGAACGCUAGCUACAGGCUUAACACAUGCAAGUCGAGGGGCAGCAUGGUCUUAGCUUGCUAAGGCCGAUGGCGACCGGCGCACGGGUGAGUAACACGUAUCCAACCUGCCGUCUACUCUUGGACAGCCUUCUGAAAGGAAGAUUAAUACAAGAUGGCAUCAUGAGUCCGCAUGUUCACAUGAUUAAAGGUAUUCCGGUAGACGAUGGGGAUGCGUUCCAUUAGAUAGUAGGCGGGGUAACGGCCCACCUAGUCUUCGAUGGAUAGGGGUUCUGAGAGGAAGGUCCCCCACAUUGGAACUGAGACACGGUCCAAACUCCUACGGGAGGCAGCAGUGAGGAAUAUUGGUCAAUGGGCGAGAGCCUGAACCAGCCAAGUAGCGUGAAGGAUGACUGCCCUAUGGGUUGUAAACUUCUUUUAUAAAGGAAUAAAGUCGGGUAUGGAUACCCGUUUGCAUGUACUUUAUGAAUAAGGAUCGGCUAACUCCGUGCCAGCAGCCGCGGUAAUACGGAGGAUCCGAGCGUUAUCCGGAUUUAUUGGGUUUAAAGGGAGCGUAGAUGGAUGUUUAAGUCAGUUGUGAAAGUUUGCGGCUCAACCGUAAAAUUGCAGUUGAUACUGGAUAUCUUGAGUGCAGUUGAGGCAGGCGGAAUUCGUGGUGUAGCGGUGAAAUGCUUAGAUAUCACGAAGAACUCCGAUUGCGAAGGCAGCCUGCUAAGCUGCAACUGACAUUGAGGCUCGAAAGUGUGGGUAUCAAACAGGAUUAGAUACCCUGGUAGUCCACACGGUAAACGAUGAAUACUCGCUGUUUGCGAUAUACGGCAAGCGGCCAAGCGAAAGCGUUAAGUAUUCCACCUGGGGAGUACGCCGGCAACGGUGAAACUCAAAGGAAUUGACGGGGGCCCGCACAAGCGGAGGAACAUGUGGUUUAAUUCGAUGAUACGCGAGGAACCUUACCCGGGCUUAAAUUGCAGAUGAAUUACGGUGAAAGCCGUAAGCCGCAAGGCAUCUGUGAAGGUGCUGCAUGGUUGUCGUCAGCUCGUGCCGUGAGGUGUCGGCUUAAGUGUCAUAACGAGCGCAACCCUUGUUGUCAGUUACUAACAGGUUCCGCUGAGGACUCUGACAAGACUGCCAUCGUAAGAUGUGAGGAAGGUGGGGAUGACGUCAAAUCAGCACGGCCCUUACGUCCGGGGCUACACACGUGUUACAAUGGGGGGUACAGAGGGCCGCUACCACGCGAGUGGAUGCCAAUCCCCAAAACCUCUCUCAGUUCGGACUGGAGUCUGCAACCCGACUCCACGAAGCUGGAUUCGCUAGUAAUCGCGCAUCAGCCACGGCGCGGUGAAUACGUUCCCGGGCCUUGCACACACAGGGCG
rnacentral:rRNA from 1 species